GGGUGGGAGAAGUCGUGUACAUGAGCACGAAUAUGUCGCUGGAAAUUUUGACAUGUGCGUGGAACUUCAACAAGUAGUCUAGUAAAAUACACAUAUAAAUAAAUAUAUACAAAUAUUUAAAUAAAUAAACAUAUUUAUGUGUUAAUACAUAUAAAUUUUUAUGUAUUAUUAAAUAAAAUUAGUAUCAAUUAAUAAUUAUUGAUAUCAAUUACAAUAAUACUGAUAAGGUUACAUUAGUAUCAUAAAAUGGAUAUUUGGAAUAUCGCUAUUUUAAGAAGACGAAUGCCAUUCCGGAGGGAAUACUAAAGGGCUUAAUCUAACGACUGGCCAACUAAAACAUUAAAAAGAAUAAAAUGUCACGUUAAAAUAAGUUUUCGCUACCAUUCAGAUGCAAUAAUAUUUUUCGCUAGUAAUGAAGUUUAAUUUAAGUAUAGAAGAAUAUAAUGCUUCGUUUCGGUAACUGUAUGAUCUAUAAAUUGAGAUUUUUUUUAACGAGUAAGAAAACACUUUUUAUUCAAGAAAUAAAAAACAAGUUAAAAGUUAUAAUUUCAAGGAAGGUUUGAAAAUUGGUGCUAUAAAUAAAUUACAAAAUAUAUUGUGAUCAAGAAUAUUAUCAUUAAAUAAACCUAAACUCAAGUAUGAAAGUAUAGUCUUUACUUCUUUUCAGUUUUGCUUGAAUAACAAACAAAAGUAUCGAUAUACGGAGAUAGCUAAUGUAUUAAGUUAUUAAACCAAAAAGAACUCUAAUUCAUGAUUGAUCUUAAAAAGCUAAUAGUCAUGAGUUUUUACACUUAUUUACUUAUUGAAAAAUAGAUUUUGUGUUAUUAAUAACGUUUAUCAUGAUAACUAACUAACAGGGAUUAGAAUUUGAGAUUAAUUUGAGGGUUCAAAUGGGAUAGGGUAAAGCUAUUUCAUAAAAAUUUUACUUAAAUCUAUAAAAUUUAGUAAUCAAAAAAUAAACAAUUUGUUAUGUUUAUACAUAAAAAAUUGUCAGUUUGUCUACAAAAUUUUUAAAAGUAAAAAAUUUCAUAUAAUAAUUUAUUUUUUUUUAAAUUCAUAAUAACUAUUACGUGUGAAGCUUGUGCUGCGUUUUCUAUUCUGAUGAUCCGUUGAUGUUUAAUGAAUAAAUAUUGAUUAUUAAUUAUAUGUUUCAAUUAUUAAUUAAAAACAGAAGUCAUGCCUAUUAAAGUCUACUAACAUCUGUCUAAAUUUUUGCAAUAGUAAAGUUUUCUAACUUUAAAUCCGACGGUUUUACCAUAUUUAAAUACAAAUAAACAAAAAAAUGUUAAUCAAAGUUUUAAUAUUUAAUCAUUGACAAUAAAUAAACAAGUAAAUAAACAAAAAAUAUCAUUUUGACUCUAUACAUUGGGAAAAAAAAAAAAAUUGUUCAAAAGCACAUAUUGGUAAAAAAAAAUUUACACUUUGGAUCUAAAUUUUUUGUACACUUUUUGAUUAACAUUUGCCUAUAAAAAUUUAAUCACCAAUGUAUGAUUGAUACUUUCAGAUCCCUGUCUACAUAUUGUCUACUACAAAUAAUGUAAUAUAAAAAUAUAGUAAGUGGAGUUUGAACGUUACAAGAAAAUACAUUAUCUAUUUCAACACUCAAUUGUUCAAGAGGAUUUAAGUUCAUCAUUUCUUCAACUCCGUGAUCUUGUGAUUAGAAUUGUUGGAAUGCUGAUUUUGGAUGCUGAUAAAGGAUUAGUUGUUCAUUAUAAAUUUAUACAUUACCACUAAUCAUUGAUGAUAAUGAUAAAUCAUUGUUUGCUGUUUCACAUUGACAACAGUUUUUUCGAAAUGAAUUUUAAAUUAAUUCAAGUUGAUUUAAUUAAUCGACUAAGCAAAUAUUUUCUUACUAUAAGAGGGAAAAUGAUUUAAAAAAAAAUUAAUAACAAAAUAGAGUUACAAAAACUGCAUUUUGAUUUCAAUACAGUUUUCUUUCCACUGUGCAAUUAAUUCAAACACACGAUUUUGAAUUAGUUUAAUAACAAUUUUGUUUUUUUUUUUAAUCGAUAUAUAACUGAACCAAUUCUAAUUAUUUGUCUUUUUACAAAUAUAUAAUAUAAGUAAUUAACAUUAAAUUUUUCUCAAUUAAUGAACAAACAAAGAAUUUUAUACUAUCCGUUUUUUCAAAUCUUAAAAAUGAUCGACUUACCGUUCGAAAUUUUUUCAAAUUUUGAUGUUGACAACUCGAAAUAUUUUUGAAACGAACUUUUUUGGAUAGGAUUCUAUCUUUUAAACUAAAAAUUGUUGUCUUGGUACUUCAAAACUUUUUAAAAAUUUUUUCUUCACCUCUAAUUAUAAUAAAAUAAAUUGUACUAGUCAUAUUUUGAACAAUUAAUAAAGAUAAAGUUAUGAAAUGAGUAAUUUAUUAAAAUUUUCAUUAAUUUGUGGAUGUUUAUCCAAGAAAAUACUUAUUGCCUAUAAUUAAUUUACAUUGGACUGAAAGUAAAAAAUUAAGAAGAAAGAUUAUCUAGUAAAUAAAAAUCAACGCAAUUUAAAUAGUAACAUUAAAUCUGAUUUAAAAAUCCUGGCUAUACGAAGUGACUAAUGAUGUAAUUGCAAGUUGAACGAUUUUGUAUUUUUUUAUUUAUUGAACUAAUUUUUCAUGUAACAGCAAAUACAUAAAUAUACUAAUUUUGAUAAAAGAUUAAUAUAUUUUGACAUUCGUGGAAAUUCAGUUAAUUAGAAAGUAUGUCACUUUAUUUGAAAAUUACUCGUU